rnacentral:rRNA from 1 species
AGAGUUUGAUCCUGGCUCAGAACGAACGCUGGCGGCGUGCUUAACACAUGCAAGUCGAACGUGAUCCAGAGCUUGCUCUGGUGAAAGUGGCGCACGGGUGAGUAACGCGUGGAUAACCUGCCCUGGUAUCUGGGAUAACAUCUCGAAAGGGGUGCUAAUACCGGAUAAGCCUACGGACUCCUCGGAGUCUGCAGGAAAAGGAGGCCUCUAUUUAUAAGCUUCCGUAUCAUGAUGGGUCCGCGUACCAUUAGCUAGUUGGUGGGGUAAUGGCCUACCAAGGCGACGAUGGUUAGCUGGUCUGAGAGGAUGAUCAGCCACACUGGAACUGAGACACGGUCCAGACUCCUACGGGAGGCAGCAGUGGGGAAUUUUGCGCAAUGGGGGAAACCCUGACGCAGCAACGCCGCGUGAGUGAUGAAGGCUUUCGGGUCGUAAAGCUCUGUCAGAGGGGAAGAAAUGGAACUGGCUAAUAUCCAGUUUUCUUGACGGUACCCUCAAAGGAAGCACCGGCUAACUCCGUGCCAGCAGCCGCGGUAA